rnacentral:snRNA from 1 species
AUGUGAGGGUUAUCUGGCUAUGACAUCUGUCACCCCAUUGAUCGCCACAGUUAAUUAGGCUGAUCUGGCUGGCCAGGCAGGUGUUUCCUCCCUCCCUCAGCACUAGAUGCAUGUCUCUGCAAAGCUGCAUGCUUGGGAAGAAGAGGACAACCGGCCUUCACAGAGGAGGACUAUUUCCUUGGUCAAGGAUAUACAAGUAGCUAGAAUUUCCAAGUGACCUCUCAGAGUCACAGGUCAGAGUCCUAAUAUGUGGCUAUAUUUGGAGAUUAAAACUUUUAAAGAGUUU